UGAACAGCAGCUAAAGAUGCAACUGUGGUCCAUGUCCAGCAGGAAGUCUUGUGUAGCUAAGAGUGACCGAAAGGCUGUGAGUCGUCAAUCCUAAGCUUUGAUUCUGGAGGAUGAGCACAUGAAAUCACCUGUAUGACUUGCUGCUGGUGUCCAAGAUCAGUGUUGAUGUGCUCGUCGGUGACACAGUCUAAGUCCCUGAAGAAAAUUGAACUUACAGCCAGUGAAGUCUGAAAGUAGUCUGCAGUUACAGAAACUAUAGAGGAAUUACAGGCUUACUGCCCUCAUAAAGAAAGAAACAGAAGUCCAAAAUAUAGGAUACAGCUCAAGACAACUGACACAAUUUUGAUGAUAAGCCCAUGAUGUAGGGGAAAAUGAAGUUGUGGAAAAAACAGGGUGCUGUGUAGAGAGAGACCCUAUACAACGUACUAACCAUAUGUCUAUGGAGGCUUGUUCCAGACUUCGUUUGGCCAAACACAAGCUGACUAAAGUCUGGUUCUUGAUGUGUCUUAAAGGCUUAUUUUCAUUUUAUUUGGUGUACUGUUGGUGUGAUUGUCUGAGGAGUUUUCUCGGCUUCUUACUGAUGUGUAUUGUUUGCUUAUUGUUUAUGGUGCGUGGCAUCGAACCCAGGGCCCUGUGCAUACUAGGACGGCUGCAGCAACUCCACUGCGGAUGAGGCGGACACCUCCCUGACCACGACCACAACCACAACCAGUGCCUUCACCAUCCAGGAAUAUUUUGCCAAGAGGAUGGCCCAGUUAAAGAGC
rnacentral:lncRNA from 1 species